rnacentral:rRNA from 1 species
GAAUAUUGGUCAAUGGGCGAGAGCCUGAACCAGCCAUGCCGCGUGCAGGAAGACGGCCUUCUGGGUUGUAAACUGCUUUUAUCAGGGAACAAAAAGCCCAUGCGUGGGAAACUGAGUGUACCUGAAGAAUAAGCACCGGCUAACUCCGUGCCAGCCGCCGCGGUAAUACGGAGGGUGCAAGCGUUGUCCGGAUUUAUUGGGUUUAAAGGGUGCGUAGGCGGUCGAUUAAGUCAGUGGUGAAAUCCUGCAGCUCAACUGUAGAACUGCCAUUGAUACUGGUUGACUUGAGUACAGACGAGGUAGGCGGAAUUUAUGGUGUAGCGGUGAAAUGCAUAGAUACCACAAAGAACACCUAUAGCGAAGGCAGCUUACUAGACUGUAACUGACGCUGAGGCACGAAAGCGUGGGGAGCGAACAGG